CAUCGUGGUUAAUAUUGCUGGAAAGCUGGGUUGUUCGGUGCCGGUCGGGGUUCUCUAUGAGGCCUCUCCGGAUCAACAUUGAGCAAUCGAGGACUAUCAGCUGUUAACUGAAGAAGACGGAAGACUGAAGACUGAAGACUGAAGACUGAAGACGGAAGACUGAAGACGGAAGAUGCAACGUGGUGGGUGGUGGGGGUGACUGAGUGACUGACUGGGUGACUGACUGAGUGACUGAGUGACUGACUGA